GAUGAAGAACGCAGCGAAAUGCGAUAAGUAAUGUGAAUUGCAGAAUUCAGUGAAUCAUCGAAUCUUUGAACGCACAUUGCGCCCGCCAGCACUCUGGCGGGCAUGUCUGUUCGAGCGUCAUUUCAACCAUCAAGCCCCCAGGGGCUUGUGCUGGGGCCCUGCGGCUGCCCGCAGGCCCUGAAAACCAGUGGCGGGCUCGCUAGUCACACCGAGCGCAGUAGCACAUCUCGCUCAGGGCGUGCGGCGGGCUCCUGCCGUGAAACCCCCCACUGUAACCCCAAAGGUUGACCUCGGAUCAGGUAGGAAUACCCGCUGAACUUAAGCAUAUCAAUAAGCGGAGGA
rnacentral:misc_RNA from 1 species